UUGUGAAGACAAUAAAAGAUGAUGAAAAAUGUGAAUAAUAAAAAAGAAAAAAAAAAACCAAAGGAAAGGAAGAAAACUUCAACUAUUUAAAGUUAGCUGAAGACAGCUUGUCAGCAUAGAAAAACUUAAUUAAUAUAUCUCAGAUGCAAACAAGAAAAAAGAAAAAGCAAAAUGAAGAAAUAAUUUCUUGCAUAUGUGUAUGUAAAAGCGAAAGACCACACAUGCAAAACAAUGCCUACAUAUACGUACAAUCGACUAUGUACACCAGAUCGUACGCAAAUGAAAAAAGAAAGGCCAAGAGGGAGAGGGAGAAAGAGAGAGAGAGAGAGAGAGAGAGAGAGACAGAGAGAGAGAGAGAAAGAGAGACUCAAAAUUUCGUAAUGACGACAGCGAACAUUUAAAGCAUUAAAGAAAAGAAAAAUAUGCACAUAUUACCUAUAUAUACAUAUAUACAUACAUAUAUAAAUGUGAGAGUAUGUGCCUGUGUGUGUGCUUGGUGGGGCUAAAUUGGCGAGAUAUGGGUUAAAAAUGUUCACAGAAAGGCUGAAAAGAGAAUAUUAUGGGAGCUAGCAAAUAUAGCUAUUACGCCUCAGCUCCAACCUAACCCAAGCCAAAAACAAAAGCAAAAGCAAAAAGAAAAUCACAACCACGUCUUCAUUGCAUUCAGUUAGGAAAUGCAUAAGAGACAUGCGCGAUAUUGCACUUGAACCUGAAAAUUGUUGUAAAUGCACAAACAAUCUUUGCUUCUCGUAAACUUGAAAUUAAUGCAAUAAUGCGUCGCAUACACGCACACAUAACAUGGUUACAGCUUUCUCUACUCAGAAGAGCAACAUGCUGAGUGGAGAGAGAACAUCAAGAAAAUAAGGCAUGAAGCAUGAAUAAUUUUGCCCUGCACAAUUUACGCGGAAUUGAAUAAAAAAAACAAAA